UUACUUUGAAAUGAAUUUGAUGAUCCGAUUCGUCCACAUCGUAUAACUUGUUAAUUAAAAUGGUUUUGUAGAAUAUCAAGUCUAUCGAGUACCUAAUGGUAUUAAUCGAAGAAGAUAUGUCUCGGAAGAAAAUGAAAAAAAGAAAGCUGCGCGCACUUGAUUACAUCCUGAAAGACCGUUUUUCUCUCAUAGGCUUUUGGUCGUAGUUCGUUAUCACAGUUGCAAAUCCAUCGUCUCUCUCUCUCUCACACCCUUCUCUCUCUACAGACCCGACCCACAUCUGAAGCCAAGAAUGUCAGGUAGAAUCUUAUACUACAGCUUUGCAGGUUUCGAUUUUGUAUGGAUUAGCAUUGUUAGAAAUUGAUGCAAGGUUUAUGCCUCCCACCUGUUUGACAUUUUGCCUUUUGAAGGAAGCCGGUUUUCAGCCUAUGGUUUUUUUGAAUUCUUGAUUCCAAAAUAAGCAGCACGAUCGGGAUCCAUAGCUUUGAACCCAUUCUUUCAUCUGAAGUUUCCUGGGCAAUUGAGGUUCAGAUGACUUCAAACUUCACGGAUGAAUUAUUUCAUCUGAAGACAGUGUAAGUGUGCGCUUGCGCUUUUGCGUGUUGAUUAAGUUAAGACUUAAAAUCGGAUGAUCUUGUAGCAUUCCAGAUAAAUUAAAGGUGGCAUUGCUUGGAAGAAAAGUAAUAGGUCAGCCUGCCAUUGAUUGCACAUACCAGGUCGAGGUCUGUACCAGUGCAAACGCCCAACAAGCUAGCUCUGACAAUGGGGACAUUUCUGGAAGAAAGACCUUGAGGUAUGGUAGGCAAUUCAUUACUUGGAUAAGCUUGGGUGAGCAUGCUAAAUUGUUAAUGUCGAUGGUUUAUAUGAAACUAGGAUAGUGUAGUGGUUUUGGGGAACUGUAGGAGUUGAAAGGAGAGGUAGCUUGUUGGAACGUCUACAACAGAUGCAGAAAUGAAAAAAUGGUGGUUAUGGAGGAUAAGAGAGAGAAGCUUUUGUCUUCAAGCGUGUGAUACAUGGACUCUUCAUACACACGACAUGUAUGGGUAUAGUAUAUGGAUUCUUUCAUAAAGAGACAUUCAGGAGGCGACUAGUUGCUUAUGGCGAAGCUUCUAGAAGUCCGACCACUAAGGAUCCUCUUCUGUUUAGGUACUCCAAAUGCAUGAUUUUGAAGGCGAAGGUGCUGAUGAGAGUCCUGAAGUUCAUGAUUUAGGUACUCCAAAUGUAAACCAAAACAGCAGGAACCGUAAUGAAUUUAGCACUUGCUCAGGAAAUGGAAAAGAGAGUUUCGUAGACGAUGUCACAUUAAAUCUGAAAAACGAGCCUUGUACUGCUGGCACUCUUGUCAAUCAAUUUGUUGAUGUUUCUGGUAAAGAAAAUGGUGCAAGUGAGCCUGGUCAGGAGAUAUAGAGAUUGAUGAAAGCAAGUCAGGUCAACCUUGGGUUCUAGGGCUUACUGAAGGGGAAUAUUUAGAUCUUUCUAUUGAAGAGUGUCUCAGAGCUCUUGUAACCGUAGUUGGCAUUGCCAAUGAAGGAAACUCUAUCCGUUCUGUUCUGAAGUAACAAUCUUGGGAUUUUUGUAUGUUAAUUUGUUAAAUUGCUUACUCAUUCCAUCCCCUUUUGUUAGUCCGUGUUUCCAUUUGGGAUGUCCCAAAAUGCCUGUCCAUUUGGAAACGUAAGAUUUAGUUCGAAAAUAUUGUAAGUUGUAAUUCUUCCAAGAAUGGUUAAAGGGGGGUAAUAUUGGCAUUAAGCACUCUUUUUUUUCCGGAUUUGACUGCAUUAAAUACAUGUUCCCUUAAGAAUUGAACUCCUGGAAGCGAUCAACGGAAGGGAACUGCGGUUGUAUUAUUGUAGAAAUGUAAGAAAGAAGAUUGGUCCUUUUUCUGUCUUUUCAUGUUGAGAGUUUUGCAGGAUCGCUUGGAUGCUGCAAAUGCUCUUAAAAAGCAAAUGUUGGCAGAGGCACAAUUGGCGCAUCAAAGACGAGAGUGCAACUUAAUUCCACUCCUCUUCUUUUACGGGAAAUGAUGCUGAAAUAAAGCAAAACUAUGCUGCAGCAGAGAGCAGCCAAAGCCCAUUGACUGGUGUCGAUAACAGUAUGUACGAUCCGGCCGUAACCACUACAGCAAAAGAAGAGCCUUUUAUUGGGGUGGAUAGGAUCCUGGUGGAUUAGCCUUGCAUGUAACAUGUUUUGUAAUAUUAUAUACAUGUGGCUUCUUAGAAGAGUUGAAUCUUGGGCUCCAUUUACUUGUCAAGAAAUCAGAGCAGGAAUAUUGUCCUCUAGAAAAUUUUAGUGAAUGAAAUUAAAGGAAAACGAAAUGUAUUUUCUUUUGUGCGUUCAUUUGAUAAGAAGAAAUUUUGUGAGAAA